CACCCGGGUGAGUCCUACACGACGUGCUCCCCGAGAAUCCCCCAGAUCUUGAUCGAAGCAAGGGUAUCGGGUCGUAGCUGUGCGAUGUAGCAAGCUCGCCCACU
rnacentral:SRP_RNA from 1 species